rnacentral:rRNA from 1 species
GUCGGGUGCUAACGUCCGACGUCAAGAGGGAAACAACCCAGACCGCCAGCUAAGGUCCCCAAGAUUGGCUAAGUGGGAAACGAAGUGGGAAGGCUAAAACAGUCAGGAGGUUGGCUUAGAAGCAGCCAUCCUUUAAAGAAAGCGUAAUAGCUCACUGAUCGAGUCGUCCUGCGCGGAAGAUGUAACGGGGCUAAGCCAGUCACCGAAGCUGCGGAUGCGUGCUUGCACGCAUGGUAGGAGAGCGUUCCGUAAGCCUGCGAAGGUGCCUUGUAAAGGGUGCUGGAGGUAUCGGAAGUGCGAAUGCUGACAUGAGUAGCGAUAAAGGGGGUGAAAGGCCCCCUCGCCGUAAGCCCAAGGUUUCCUACGCAACGUUCAUCGGCGUAGGGUGAGUC